rnacentral:rRNA from 1 species
GACGAACGCUGGCGGCGUGCCUUAUACAUGCAAGUAGGACGCAGUUGCGAACGGGUGAGUAACGCGUAGGUACCUACCUAUUUGCGGGGGAUAACUAUUGGAAACGCUAGCUAAUACCGCAUACUAGUAGAUGGACCUGCGGUGUAUUAGCUAGUAGGUAGGGGAAUGGCCUACCUAGGCAACGAUACAUAGGCGACCUGAGAGGGUGAUCGGGCACACUGGGAAUGGGGAAAGGCCCAGACUCCUCAGGGAGGCAGGAGGAGGGAAUCUUCGGAAAUGGGGGGAACCCUGACCGAGCAACGCCGCGGGAGGGAAGAAGGUUUUCGGAGCGUAAAGCUCUGUUGUUAAGGAAGCGGUACUUAACCAGAAAGGGACGGCUAACUACGUGCCAGCAGCCGCGGUAAUUC